GCGGGCAGGGUGGGAAGAAAAUGACACGCAAAAACCCAACCUGCUCCUCGCCCACCAGCCACCGAGACGACGAUGCCGCGCAGUCAAUGUCGUUUGUUCGUUCUUAAACCAAACUAUUCUCGCCUUGUCGGUGAUGUAGGGACCUUGGGCUGACGCCACUAGGAGGAAGGGAGAAUGCGUUUAAUUUAUUUUAAUACCGGCGCCUCUGGCGCUCAUACAGCUGGACAAGCCGAGGCAUGCUUCUUUGACAACUUUCGGUCGCGACUGUUAUCGAGUGAAAAAGGCGAAUAUGCCUGUGGCCAAAUUUUU
rnacentral:lncRNA from 1 species